rnacentral:lncRNA from 1 species
CAGCAGUAUAGUCAUGGAUAAUAAAAUACAUUAUUUUACAAUCCACGGUAUAAUUGAACAAGAAUUUUGAACUAAAUAAGACUACAAAAACAAGGCCAGUAAUCUCGAAAUAUCCUGGGGUCGUUGCCCCCAACCUUAUCCCAACUCUGUCCCCACUAGUAACUGUACCCUCAGACUCUGCUGUAUCUUACUCAGCAUACUAAGUGCUCCUCGCUCACUUUCCACCCCUGAAUUUUUCUGCACACCCACACCCCAACUCCCCAAGUAAAAUUUGAAAAUCUGUCUAUGAUGAUGAUGAUAACAUAUAAAAGUAUAAACCUUUAUUAAGUUAAUAUUAAGUCAGGGGGGGAUCUGACAGCAAGGUUUUUCUAGGGGGUGCUGGGUGAGCAGCCAAGUGUUUCUUUAUAAUUCUUUAGGGGGUGGUGGGAGAGCAUUCAAAUGAAUUGGCUUCCUAAUGACUCAAACACCAAAGGCGCGAGCUCCCUAGGGGGUUCAAAG